rnacentral:rRNA from 1 species
ACGCUGGCGGCAUGCUUUACACAUGCAAGUCGGACGGCAGCACAGAGAAGCUUGCUUCUUGGGUGGCGAGUGGCGAACGGGUGAGUAAUAUAUCGGAACGUACCGGGUAAUGGGGGAUAACUAAUCGAAAGAUUAGCUAAUACCGCAUAUUCUCUGAGGAGGAAAGCAGGGGACCUUCGGGCCUUGCGUUAUUCGAGCGGCCGAUAUCUGAUUAGCUAGUUGGUGGGGUAAAGGCCUACCAAGGCGACGAUCAGUAGCGGGUCUGAGAGGAUGAUCCGCCACACUGGGACUGAGACACGGCCCAGACUCCUACGGGAGGCAGCAGUGGGGAAUUUUGGACAAUGGGCGCAAGCCUGAUCCAGCCAUGCCGCGUGUCUGAAGAAGGCCUUCGGGUUGUAAAGGACUUUUGUCAGGGAAGAAAAGGCUGUUGCUAAUACCGACAGCUGAUGACGGUACCUGAAGAAUAAGCACCGGCUAACUACGUGCCAGCAGCCGCGGUAAUACGUAGGGUGCGAGCGUUAAUCGGAAUUACUGGGCGUAAAGCGAGCGCAGACGGUUACUUAAGCAGGAUGUGAAAUCCCCGGGCUCAACCUGGGAACUGCGUUCUGAACUGGGUGACUAGAGUGUGUCAGAGGGAGGUAGAAUUCCACGUGUAGCAGUGAAAUGCGUAGAGAUGUGGAGGAAUACCGAUGGCGAAGGCAGCCUCCUGGGAUAACACUGACGUUCAUGCUCGAAAGCGUGGGUAGCAAACAGGAUUAGAUACCCUGGUAGUCCACGCCCUAAACGAUGUCAAUUAGCUGUUGGGCAACUUGAUUGCUUAGUAGCGUAGCUAACGCGUGAAAUUGACCGCCUGGGGAGUACGGUCGCAAGAUUAAAACUCAAAGGAAUUGACGGGGACCCGCACAAGCGGUGGAUGAUGUGGAU